UGGUAGCGCACUUGUCUGGGGGACAAGGGGUCGCAGGUUCAAAUCCUGCCGUUCCGACCA
rnacentral:tRNA from 1 species